AGCAAACGCUGGCGGCAGGCUUAACACAUGCAAGUCGAGCGCCCCGCAAGGGGAGCGGCAGACGGGAGAGUAACACGUGGGAACAUACCUUUUGGUUCGGAACAACUGAGGGAAACUUCAGCUAAUACCGGAUAAGCCCUUACGGGGAAAGAUUUAUCGCCGAAAGAUUGGCCCGCGUCUGAUUAGCUAGUUGGUGAGGUAACGGCUCACCAAGGCGACGAUCAGUAGCUGGUCUGAGAGGAUGAUCAGCCUCACUGGGACUGAGACACGGCCCAGACUCCUACGGGAGGCAGCAGUGGGGAAUAUUGGACAAUGGGCGCAAGCCUGAUCCAGCCAUGCCGCGUGAGUGAUGAAGGCCUUAGGGUUGUAAAGCUCUUUUGCCCGGGAAGAUAAUGACGGUACCGGGAGAAUAAGCCCCGGCUAACUUCGUGCCAGCCGCCGCAGUAA
rnacentral:rRNA from 1 species